rnacentral:rRNA from 1 species
UACGUAGGUGGCAAGCGUUGUCCGGAUUUAUUGGGUUUAAAGGGUGCGUAGGCGGUCCUAUAAGUCAGUGCUGAAAUAUCCCGGCUUAACCGGGAGGGUGGCAUUGAUACUGCAGGACUUGAGUAAAGUUGAGGUUGGCGGAAUUGACGGUGUAGCGGUGAAAUGCUUAGAUAUCGUCAAGAACACCUAUUGCGAAGGCAGCUAACUAAGCUUUAACUGACGCUGAGGCACGAAAGUGUGGGGAGCAAACGGG